GAUGUGAACUCCCUCGGCUUAACCGAGGAACUGCAUCCGACACUGUUUAUCUUGAGAGCCCACCAGGAGAGUGGAACUCCAUGUGUACCGCUGGAAUGCCUAGAUAUUUGGAACAACACCAGUGCCCAAGGUUGCUCUCUGGUCUGCAACUGACGCUCAGGCUCGCAAGCAUGGCCACCGAACUUUUUAGAUACUCUGGUAGUCCUGCGGUACACAAGGAGUGCUAA
rnacentral:rRNA from 1 species